rnacentral:tRNA from 1 species
GGUUAUGGCUCAGUGGUUAGAGCGCUCGCCUAGCAUGUGUGAGGCCUUGGGUUCAGUCCUCAGCACCA